rnacentral:sRNA from 1 species
GCCAGGUGCGGUGGCGCAUGCCUGUCAUCCCAGCAGCUCUGGAGGCUGAGGCAGGAGGAUCGCAAGUUCAAAGCCAGCCUCAGCAAAAGGCAAGGCAUUAAGCAACUCAGUGAAACCCUAUCUCUA